rnacentral:rRNA from 1 species
AGCGAACGCUGGCGGCAGGCCUAACACAUGCAAGUCGAACGAACCUUUCGGGGUUAGUGGCGGACGGGUGAGUAACACGUGGGAACGUGCCUUUAGGUUCGGAAUAACUCAGGGAAACUUGUGCUAAUACCGAAUGUGCCCUUCGGGGGAAAGAUUAAUCGCCUUUAGAGCGGCCCGCGUCUGAUUAGCUAGUUGGUUGAGGUAAUGGCUCAGCAAGGCGACGAUCAGUAGCUGGUCUGAGAGGAUGAUCAGCCACAUUGGGACUGAGACACGGCCCAAACUCCUACGGGAGGCAGCAGUGGGGAAUCUUGCGCAAUGGGCGAAAGCCUGACGCAGCCAUGCCGCGUGAAUGAUGAAGGUCUUAGGAUUGUAAAAUUCUUUCACCGGGGACGAUAAUGACGGUACCCGGAGAAGAAGCCCCGGCUAACUUCGUG